GGGGGUGCUGGGUGUGGCUGCUCAUUCAUCACCACACGGGUUGCCAGGAUUGAUUUGGCUGAUCUGCCAACUGGGAAUUCCACCAAUCUCCCUCUCCACCCCUCUACUUCCUCCUGAACAGCUACAUGCUUAGCCAAGGGCAUGACCUUCCAGAUUAAAAGACUUCUUUACUCACAGGUAGAUACAUAGCUCCAUUACCCUGCAAGUAGCUGUAACGGGAGGGGGUAAGCCUUUAAGUCAGAGGGGAAUGCAGGGGCAAGGUCAUGCAGGGCCU
rnacentral:sRNA from 1 species